AGGAAAAAAGUGAAAGUGAACGAAAGAGCGAUCAACAGUUUCUGGAUUCUCUUCGUUCAUCUUCUCUUUCUUCUUCUUCCUCUUCUUCCUCUUCCU
rnacentral:ribozyme from 13 species